rnacentral:rRNA from 1 species
UGGGGAAUUUUGGACAAUGGGCGGAAGCCUGAUCCAGCAAUGCCGCGUGCAGGAAGAAGGCCUUCGGGUUGUAAACUGCUUUUGUCAGGGAAGAAAUCCUCUGGGUUAAUACCUCGGGGGGAUGACGGUACCUGAAGAAUAAGCACCGGCUAACUACGUGCCAGCAGCCGCGGUAAUACGUAGGGUGCGAGCGUUAAUCGGAAUUACUGGGCGUAAAGCGUGCGCAGGCGGUUGUGCAAGACAGGUGUGAAAUCCCCCGGGGCUUAACCUGGGAACUGCACUUGUGACUGCACGGGCUAGAGUACGGUAGAGGGGGGAUGGAAUUCCGCGUGUAGCAGUGAAAUGCGUAGAUAUGCGGAGGAACACCGUGGCGAAGGCAAUCCCCUGGACCUGUACUGACGCUCAUGCACGAAAGCGUGGGGAGCAAACAGGAUUAGAUACCCUGGUAGUCCACGCCCUAAACGAUGUCAACUGGUUGUUGGACGGCUUGCUGUUCAGUAACGAAGCUAACGCGUAAAGUUGACCGCCUGGGGUAGUACGGCCGCAAGGUUGAAACUCAAAUGAAUUGACGGGGUCAUAGCUGUUUCCUG